CCUACGGGCGGCAGCAGUCGAGAAUCAUUCACAAUGGGGGAAACCCUGAUGGUGCGACGCCGCGUGGGGGAAUGAAGGUCUUCGGAUUGUAAACCCCUGUCAUGUGGGAGCAAAUUAAAAAGAUAGUACCACAAGAGGAAGAGACGGCCAACUCUGUGCCAGCAGCCGCGGUAAUACAGAGGUCUCAAGCGUUGUUCGGAAUCACUGGGCGUAAAGCGUGCGUAGGCUGUUUCGUAAGUCGUGUGUGAAAGGCGGGGGCUCAACCCGCGGACGGCACAUGAUACUGCGGGACUAGAGUAAUGGAGGGGGAACCGGAAUUCUCGGUGUAGCAGUGAAAUGCGUAGAUAUCGGGAGGAACACUCGUGGCGAAGGCGAGUUCCUGGACAUUAACUGACGCUGAGGCACGAAGGCCAGGGGAGCGAAAGGGAUUAGAUACCCCUGUAGUC
rnacentral:rRNA from 1 species